AUGGCUGUCGUCAGCUCGUGCCGUGAGGUGUCAGGUUAAGUCCUAUAACGAGCGCAACCCCUGUUGUUAGUUGCCAUCGAGUAAUGUCGGGAACUCUAACAAGACUGCCAGUGCAAACUGUGAGGAAGGUGGGGAUGACGUCAAAUCAUCACGGCCCUUACGUCCUGGGCCACACACGUGCUACAAUGGUAGGUACAGAGAGCAGCCACGUCGCAAGGCGGAGCGAAUCUAUAAAACCUAUCACAGUUCGGAUCGGGGUCUGCAACUCGACCCCGUGAAGCUGGAAUCGCUAGUAAUCGCAUAUCAGCCAUGAUGCGGUGAAUACGUUCCCGGGCCUUGUACACACCGCCCGUCAAGCCAUGGAAGCUGGGGGUACCUGAAGUCCGUCACCGCAAGGAGCGGCCUAGGGUAAAACCGGUAACUGGGGCUAAGUCGUAACAAGGUAGCCGUACCGGAAGGUGCGGCUGGAACACCUCCUUUCUAGAGCUUCUCUACCCAAUGGGUAGAAAAGACGCGACUAUAAGGAAAGAAAAGUUCGAAUACUUAUUUUAGUUUUUAAUGUUGUUGAUUCAAGAUAUUUUUCGAUUGAUGGCUCACUUUAAGUAGUGAGUCAUUCGAUUGAUAAAUAAAGGACAGUCUCAUAGCUCAGCUGGUUAGAGCGCUACACUGAUAAUGUAGAGGUCGGCAGUUCGAGUCUGCCUGAGACUACUGUGUGCUAAGGCACAUAUAUGUUUUAGGUUAUAAGCUUGAGGCAUUUAGUUCAUAAAAAAAGAUAUUGAAGGAAAUUUUAGAGGUUGAGUAGCCGUUAUAAGUACUGUUAACUAAUAACUGUUAACUAACUUUUAAAUAAUGGGGGAUUAGCUCAGCUGGCUAGAGCGCCUGCCUUGCACGCAGGAGGUCAUCGGUUCGACUCCGAUAUUCUCCACAGGGCGAUGCCCUGAGAUAGACAAGUUCUAUUUCAUUGUGUAUCGCGGCUGAGAAAUCAUUGGCAAUUUAUUGUCAGUGGCGACUCGCCACACGUUCAUUGACAUAUUGGGAAAUAAUAAGAAUACGAGAGAAACAAAUUUUUAGUUAGCUAGUAAUAGUUAAUUAUAUAUUAUAGAUAGAACUCAUUAGAAUAAAGAAUACAAAGGCUUGGUAGCAAUACCUAGUCCUUAUAAGAGCAAGAAGUACAAUAAGCUAAAUAAGGGCGUAUGGGGAAUGCCUAGGCUCUCAGAGGCGAUGAAGGACGUGAUAAGCUGCGAAAAGCUGCGGGGAUUGGCACAUACAAAUUGAUCCGCAGAUAUCCGAAUGGGGAAACCCGG
rnacentral:sRNA from 1 species